rnacentral:rRNA from 1 species
AUUACCCAAUCCUGACACAGGGAGGUAGUGACAAGAAAUAACAAAGCAAGCCUGUAAUCAGGUCUUGCUAUUGGAAUGAGUAAAAUUUAAAUCUCUUUACGACUAUCAAUUGGAGGGCAAGUCUGGUGCCAGCAGCCGCGGUAGUUCCAGCUCCAAUAGCGUAUAUUAAAGUUGUUGCGGUUAAAAAGCUCGUAGUUGGAUUUCUGUCGAAGACGGUCGGUCCGCUCUAUGAGCGUGCAUCUGAUUCGGCUUUGGCAUCCUCGUGGGGAACGUAACUGUGCUUGAUUGCAUGGUGCGGAAUUCACGACUUUUACUUUGAGGAAAUUAGAGUGUUCACGGCAGGCAAGCGCCUUGAAUAUAUUAGCAUGGAAUAAUAAUAUAGGACUUUGGUUCUAUUUUGUUGGUUUCUAGGACUAAAGUAAUGAUUAAUAGGGAUAAUUGGGGGCAUUUGUAUUAACGCGUCAGAGGUGGAAUUCUUGGAUUGCGUUACGACAAACUACUGCGAAAGCAUUUGCCAAGGAUGUUUUCAUUGAUCAAGAACGAAAGUAUGGGGAUCGAAGAUGAUUAGAUACCGUCGUAGUCUAUACCAUAAACUAUGCCGACUAGAGAUUGGAGGUCGUUCUUUCCAUGACUCCUUCAGCACCUUAUGAGAAAUCAAAGUCUUUGGGUUCCGGGGGGAGUAUGGUCGCAAGGCUGAAACUUAAAGGAAUUGACGGAAGGGCACCACCAGGAGUGGAGCCUGCGGCUUAAUUUGACUCAACACGGGAAAA